UUAAUUAUGUCAAUCUAUUGGGAGUGUUAUAUAAAGCAACUGUUAUUGCCAGGCGUUCUCUAUAGCUACCGCGCUCUAUGUGACAAACUGCAUAGUUUUGCAGUUUGAUCAAGUGCCCUAAGCAAUUGCAGUGAAUACCUGGCAAGUGAAAUGGUUUUCAGAGCACAUCUGUAUAUCGCAGCAAUGUUGAUGAUUCUGCUGAUCCACAAAGCAAAAAGUCUUCCAUAUCUGGACCCUGUGGACGAAUGCAUUCUUACAUGCGAUGCUUGCUACAAAGGGGAAUUUUUGCUAGACUGUGCAAACGACUGCAUCUUCCAAUCAGGCGACGUGGGUCAACCAUUUAAAAACCACUGCCCACAAUUUGAUAUGAAACUACCCAGUGUUCAAAUGGUUUAGCAAUGACGUCAAUAGAAAUAUUGUAAACGAGCUGCUCAUUUAAUACAGUAAAGCAAUGGAGUAAUUAAUUACG